AGAGUUUGAUCAUGGCUCAGGAUGAACGCUGGCGGCGUGCCUAAUACGAUGCAAGUUGUGCGGUAACAGAGAGAGCUUGCUCUCUGCUGACGAGCGGCGGACGGCAGAGUAACGCGUAGGAACAUACCCAAACUGAGGGAUAACUGCUCGAAAGAGUAGCUAAUACCGCAUGUGGUCUUCGGAUUAAAGCUUCGGCGGUUUGGGAGUGGCCUGCGUCCGAUUAGCUAGUUGGUGAGGUAAUUGCUCACCAAGGCGACGAUCGGUAGCUGGUCUGAGAGGAUGAUCAGCCUGACUGGAACUGAGAACGGUCCAGACUCCUACGGGAGGCAGCAGUAGGGAAUUUUCCACAAUGGGCGAAAGCCUGAUGGAGCAACGCCGCGUGCAGGAUGAAUGCCUUCGGGUUGUAAACUGCUUUUCUGUGUGAAGAAUAUGACGGUAACACAGGAAUAAGGGUCGGCUAACUACGUG
rnacentral:rRNA from 1 species